rnacentral:rRNA from 2 species
GGUGCUUGCACCUGAUUGAUUUUGGUCGCCAACGAGUGGCGGACGGGUGAGUAACACGUAGGUAACCUGCCCAGAAGCGGGGGACAACAUUUGGAAACAGAUGCUAAUACCGCAUAACAACGUUGUUCGCAUGAACAACGCUUAAAAGAUGGCUUCUCGCUAUCACUUCUGGAUGGACCUGCGGUGCAUUAGCUUGUUGGUGGGGUAACGGCCUACCAAGGCGAUGAUGCAUAGCCGAGUUGAGAGACUGAUCGGCCACAAUGGGACUGAGACACGGCCCAUACUCCUACGGGAGGCAGCAGUAGGGAAUCUUCCACAAUGGGCGCAAGCCUGAUGGAGCAACACCGCGUGAGUGAAGAAGGGUUUCGGCUCGUAAAGCUCUGUUGUUAAAGAAGAACACGUAUGAGAGUAACUGUUCAUACGUUGACGGUAUUUAACCAGAAAGUCACGGCUAACUACGUGCCAGCAGCCGCGGUAAUACGUAGGUGGCAAGCGUUAUCCGGAUUUAUUGGGCGUAAAGAGAGUGCAGGCGGUUUUCUAAGUCUGAUGUGAAAGCCUUCGGCUUAACCGGAGAAGUGCAUCGGAAACUGGAUAACUUGAGUGCAGAAGAGGGUAGUGGAACUCCAUGUGUAGCGGUGGAAUGCGUAGAUAUAUGGAAGAACACCAGUGGCGAAGGCGGCUACCUGGUCUGCAACUGACGCUGAGACUCGAAAGCAUGGGUAGCGAACAGGAUUAGAUACCCUGGUAGUCCAUGCCGUAAACGAUGAGUGCUAGGUGUUGGAGGGUUUCCGCCCUUCAGUGCCGGAGCUAACGCAUUAAGCACUCCGCCUGGGGAGUACGACCGCAAGGUUGAAACUCAAAGGAAUUGACGGGGGCCCGCACAAGCGGUGGAGCAUGUGGUUUAAUUCGAAGCUACGCGAAGAACCUUACCAGGUCUUGACAUCUUGCGCCAACCCUAGAGAUAGGGCGUUUCCUUCGGGAACGCAAUGACAGGUGGUGCAUGGUCGUCGUCAGCUCGUGUCGUGAGAUGUUGGGUUAAGUCCCGCAACGAGCGCAACCCUUGUUACUAGUUGCCAGCAUUAAGUUGGGCACUCUAGUGAGACUGCCGGUGACAAACCGGAGGAAGGUGGGGACGACGUCAGAUCAUCAUGCCCCUUAUGACCUGGGCUACACACGUGCUACAAUGGACGGUACAACGAGUCGCGAACUCGCGAGGGCAAGCAAAUCUCUUAAAACCGUUCUCAGUUCGGACUGCAGGCUGCAACUCGCCUGCACGAAGUCGGAAUCGCUAGUAAUCG